AUUGAACGCUGGCGGCAGGCCUAACACAUGCAAGUCGAACGGGUGGCGGACGGGUGAGUAAUGUCUGGGAAACUGCCUGAUGGAGGGGGAUAACCACUGGAAACGGUAGAUAAUACCGCAUACCAUCGGAUGUGCCCAGAGGGGUUUAGCUAGUAGGUGGGGUAUAGGCUAACCGAGGCGACGAUCCCUAGCUGGGCUGAGAGGAUGACCAGCCACACUGGAACUGAGACACGGUCCAGCCUCCUACGGGAGGCAGCAGUGGGGAAUAUUGCCCAAUGGGCGCAAGCCUGAUGCAGCCAUGCCGCGUGUAGGAAGAAGGCCUUCGGAUUGUAAAGUACUUUCAGCGGGGAGGCGUUACCCACACAAGAAGCACCGGCUAACUCCGUGCCAGCAGCCGCGGUAAUUC
rnacentral:rRNA from 1 species